rnacentral:rRNA from 1 species
AGCAGCAGCCACGGUAAUACGGAGGAUCCAAGCGUUAUCCGGAAUCAUUGGGUUUAAAGGGUCCGUAGGCGGUCUUGUAAGUCAGUGGUGAAAGCCCAUCGCUCAACGGUGGAACGGCCAUUGAUACUGCAGGACUUGAAUUAUUGGGAAGUAACUAGAAUAUGUAGUGUAGCGGUGAAAUGCUUAGAGAUUACAUGGAAUACCAAUUGCGAAGGCAGGUUACUACCAAUUGAUUGACGCUGAUGGACGAAAGCGUGGGUAGCGAACAGGAUUAGAUACCCCGGUAGUCCCUGUCUCUUAUAU